rnacentral:lncRNA from 1 species
AAACAUUAAUUAAAAGUGAGCAAGAGUGGCUAUAUUUAUAUUAGAUAAAGUAUUCAUCAGAGCAAAUAAAAUUACCCAUAAAAUUACCAAGGACAGAGAAAUCACAUAGUGAUAGAAAAGCCAAUCCACCAAAGGAGAGGACCAGUCUGUCAAGAAGACUUAUCAGUCCCAAGUGAGUAUGCUUCAAACAGCAGAGCUGUAGGAGUUCCCGUAGUGGCUCAGUGGUUAACGAAUCCGACUAGGAACCAUGAGGUUGCGGGUUUGGUCCCUGGCCUUGCUCAGUGGGUUAAGGAUCUGGCCUUGCCGUGAGCUGUGAUGUAGGUCACAGACGCGGCUCGGAUCCCAUGUUGCUGUGGCUCCGCCGGCCUACACCAGAGCCACAGCGUCUGCAACCUACACCAUAGCUCAGGGCAACACUGGAUCCUUAAUUCACUGAACAAGGUCAGGAAUUGAACCCUCAACCUCUAGUCCUGGGAAUUGGAAGUGAAAAUUCUCACACAUGCUCUCACAUACACACUCAUUCUCACACAUGUUCUUUGACUCAUUUUCACACACACAUAUUCACACACAGGUUUGGUUCUCCUGGCAGUCAGCCCCCAUCCUAGGGUGGGGUCCUAAAGUCACCUCAUUAACACAGUCUUUGUUAACUCUCAUUAUUUAGGAAUUCCAAGGGUUUUAGGAGCUGUGCUAGAAAAGGGGUUGAAGACCAAAUAUAUAUAUAUUUUCAUUAUAAAUUGUAAUGUCAUACACAGUAAUAGAUAAUUUAAAUAGAACAUUUUCUUUUGUAUGAAGACCAAGAACCCAAUAGAAAAAUGGCAAAGGGAAAAAUAGUUCGUAGAGAAAGAAAUACAAAUAAUCCUUAAACAUUAAGAGAUGGUCAACCUCACUCAUAAGAGAAAUACAAAUUAAUCUUCACUUAGGAGUUUCCGUUGUGGCUCAAUGGUAAUGAACCUGACACAGUGUCCCUUAGGACACAGGUUCCAUCCCUGACCUUGCACAGUGGGUUAAGGAUCCAGCGUUGCCAUAACUACCUGACCUACCUAACUGUAGGUCACAGAUGUAGUUUGGAUCCUGAGUUGCUGUGGCUGUGGUAUAGGCUGACAGCUGCAGCUCUGAUUUGACCCCUUGCCUGGGAGCUUCCAUAUUCCACAGGUGUGGCCCUAAAAAGAAAAACAAACAAAUUCCACUUAGACACCUUUUCUCAUAUAUCAGAUGGGCAAAAAUCCAAAAUUUAAAAGGUCAUAGUUGGUGUGGCUAUAAAGAAAUAGAUUUGGUGGUGGAGAAUGCAAAAUUGUACAACCCUGAUGGAGAGCAGUUGGCAUUGCUUAUAAAAAAUUCAAGAGCAUUUAUUCUCUGACCCAGCCAUCCCACCUCUGGGAAUCUAUUCUACAAGAGAGAAAUGCUUAGGUAUGGCAUGACCUGUGAACUAUGGCAUUGUUUGUUUUUUAUUUUAUUUUAUUUUUUUAGGUUUUAAUAUUUUUCUGUGAUAAUCGAUUUUCUUUGUUCUGUCAGUUUCACUAUGGCAUUGUUUGUGAUGGCAAAAGACUGGAAAGGAACUGUCAAGAGGUCUGUCAAGAAGGAACUGCAUAAAUAAAUAUGAACCACUCUGUAGGAAAGAAUGAGGAUGUGCUGUAGGUUAUAGUAAAUAAAGCAAGGAAGGUGCAGAAUAAUGUGUAAAUUAUGUUAUCUUACUGUAAGGAAAAGAUGGAAAGCAUUACGUUUGCAUAAAGAAAUGCAGAAAAAAUCAAUAGAAAAAAAAUGAAAUUGUUACCUGUAAGGAGAAAGUGCGAAUUAGAAUUCUCUGUGUAUAUUUUUUAUACCUAUUUUAUACCACUUGAUGUCCUUUGGACUUUUUUUUUUUUUGGUCUUUUUAGGGCCACCCCCGUGGCAGAUGGAAUUACCUAGGCUAAGGGUCAAAUGGGAGCUGCAGUUGCCAGCCUUUGUCAUAGCCACAGCAACUUGGGAUCCGAGCUGCAUCUUCAACCUACACCACAGCCCACGGCAAUGCCAGAUCCUUAUCCCACUGAGCCAGGCUAGGGAUUGAACCCUUGUCCUCAUGGUUACUAGUCAGGUUCAUUAUCAUUGAGCCACAACGGGAACUCCUCCUUUUGAUUUUUGAGCCAAGUAAAAUACAACAUAUUAAAAAGCAAUUCAGGUGGGAAUGGGGGAUGACUAUUGAUGUUGGUAGGGUUUCUUUUAAGGAUCUGAAAAUGUUCUGAAGUUAGAUGGUGGUUGAUGGUUGUACAACUCUAUGAAUAUGCUAAAAACCACUGAACUCCACACAUUAAAUGGGUGAAUUUUAUGGCAUGUGAAAUAUGUUUAGAUAAAGUUGGAAAAAAAGGGACACACAUGCCCACAAGAUUUCAGGAGUGAAGAGAAGAUAGACUCAAGAUUAAAAUGACGAUAGAAAAAGAACAUGGAUGACUUAUUGCCCGUAAUCCAGAACUUUCAAAAAACAUCUAGAGAACACAGUUAUACAACACUGGCUCAAGAAGAAAGAAAAAAACCUGAAUGAAUAGUCUAAUAAUAUUUAAAGAAACUCAACCAUCUGUAAACAAUCCUUCAUAAACGAAACACCAGACUGAGGUAAAUUUAAGAAAACUUUGAAGGAGAAGAUCACUUCAGUCACAUAAAAAUCUUCUGAAAAAAAUACCUGUCAAUUCAUUUUUUUAAUGCUAAAAUAACCUACAUACUAAAACUGGACAAAAUUAGGAGAAAAGAAAAUGAUAGGCCAAUCUACUCCUGAACAUGGGUACAAAAACAUUCUAGGUAAGAUAUCAGCAAACAGAAUCAGAGCAAUACAUAUAAAAAUACAAGCAUAUCAAGGUUGUACUAUUCUAGAAACUCAAUGCAGACUUAACAUGAGAAAGUUUACUAGUGGAUUCAACACAUUAAUAGUCUGAGGGAGAAAAUAACGAAUGACAUUCUCAAUAGGUGCAGACCAAGAAUUUGAUAAAAUUCAAAAGCUACUCACGAUGAAAAAAGCUUGGCAAGUGAGAAAGAGAAGAGGCUAUAUACUAACAAUCUGUAUGGCAAGCAUUACUCUUCAGGGUGAAAUGCUGGUGGUAGUUCUUAGCCAAUCAGGAAUAAGAUUGGAUACAAGUGUUUCCAUCCAGUAUUGUCCCGGAGGUCCCAGACAGCACAGACAAAGAAGAAAUAGAAAUUCAGCCUAUCAGGAUAAGAAAAAAGGAAACGAAAUAGUAAUUAUUGUCUGAUGAUAUGCUUGUAUAAAUAACCCCUCCCCUCCAUUUACAGACAGAAAUCUAGAAUUAACAAGGUAGUUUAGCAACCUGCUAGAUAUAUAAUCAAUAAACAAAAAUCAAUUGCCUUUGCGUGCUCCAAAAAAAACCAAUGAAAGUAAAUUUAACAAAGCAACAAAAAAGUAUGCGGUGCCUAACAAUAAAGCCACCAACUAUAUUGCAAGGGACUUGCAAAUGUCACAGUCAACAGGCUUGGGUCUAACCCAGGCAUGGCAACAGAGGUGGAGCCUGGGGCUGGAGCCUCAGACCAACCACACAGCCUCCUGCUGGGGGGAUUUUGCUGUAUUAGCCUCCAAGAUGGGGUCAGAAUAUCUUGAGUUAUAGAGAAUACUAAGUAGAGGUUGUAGGAAGCUGCUCAGCAGCAACUAUCCUAAAAGCCGGACCACUUCAGCCUGCCUUCCCCUAGUUGCAGCUGGUGGCAUUGACCCGGCAGGUCUGAUCACACUUGGACCAUUCACCCUCGCCAGACAUGACUGCCAAGUCCAAGAGUGAAAAUGAGCUUUGGCAGCCAGCCUAGUAUGUUCUGGCCUCAUGCUUUCACAUAUAUUUUUAAGAUGCAUUUAAGUUUGUGGAUAAGUAAUACAUUUAUAUUAUCAACCAAGCCAAAUCAAACCCAAAACCUUGGUGGCAGGUCGCAGAUGGGGCCCCAAGCUUGGAUUAGGAGGCAACUUGUUUGGACUAAGCAUCACUGGCUGUCUCAGAGCUCCUGUCCCAGCAUCCUUUUCCUUUGAAGUAAUUGCCUUGUUCCCUCACUCUUCCCUUUAUCAUUUGACCCUGUCUCCUAUAAAAACUACAUUCUCGUGGUAACCUCCUAGGGGAAGCAAGAAGAACAAAGAUAGCAUUUUCUGGAGUUCCUGCUGUGGCUCAGUGGGUUAAGAACCUGAUGUUGUCUCUGUGUGGAUGCCGGUUCAAUCUCUGGCCUCACUUAAUGGGUUAAGGGUCUGGUGUUGCAGCAAGCAGAUGGGGCUUGGAUCUGGCAUUGCUGUGGCUGUGGUGUAGGCUGGCAGCUGCAGAUUUGAUUUGAUGCCUUGCCUGAGAACUUCCAUAUGCCGCAGGUGCAGCUGUAUUAAAAAAAAAGAGAAAAGAAAAAAAAAAAAAAG